UUACAUUGCAUGUGUGAGGCUUCAGCAGUCAGUAAGACUGAACAAGCAUCUUAAGAAACUGGUCAUUUCCGAAAACGACUCAAAACAAUUCUUCUGAAUAUGUUUCUGUUUCAGCUUCUGUUUUUCAACUUUGGCUCAUUUUCCAAUGCAGACAAUUAUACAAAUCCAGAUGUUGUCUCCAAUCUCACUGUCUCAAGCAAAAACACAUCAUUUGUGUCUCUAACCUGGAAUAAGCCACCCGGGAACAGCUCCUUUUUUAUAGUAAACUGGACUGGUGGCAGUGUGAAUAUCAGCAGUAACACUUCAAACCUGUCUUACACUGUCACUGGUCUGACUGCUGGAGUGAAAUACACAUUCAGUGUUACUGCAGUUGCUGCAGAUGGACAAACUCAAGGAGCACCGACUCAAAUCUCAGCAU